rnacentral:rRNA from 1 species
AACGAACGCUGGCGGCAGGCUUAACACAUGCAAGUCGAACGCAUCCUUCGGGGUGAGUGGCAGACGGGUGAGUAACGCGUGGGAACGUGCCCUUCAGUUCGGGAUAACCCAGGGAAACUUGGGCUAAUACCGGAUACGUGCGAGAGCAGAAAGAUUUAUCGCUGAAGGAUCGGCCCGCGUCUGAUUAGCUAGUUGGUGGGGUAAUGGCCCACCAAGGCGACGAUCAGUAGCUGGUCUGAGAGGAUGAUCAGCCACAUUGGGACUGAGACACGGCCCAAACUCCUACGGGAGGCAGCAGUGGGGAAUAUUGGACAAUGGGCGCAAGCCUGAUCCAGCCAUGCCGCGUGAGUGAUGAAGGCCUUAGGGUUGUAAAGCUCUUUCGCCAGGGAAGAUAGUGACGGUACCUGCAGAAAAAGCACCGGCUAACUACGUGCCAGCAGCCGCGGUAA